CAAAUAUUCGUACAUCUGCUUCAAAGAAGAAAUCGGGGAGCCAUCAUGCGAAAGAAGUGAGGACACCGUUUUUUAAAUACUGCUAUCAGUGCGGACGUUCUGUUGGUGUUCAGCUGACAUCUUGCAUUCAUUGCCAUGAAAUCUUCACUUGCAGUGAAGCUUGCAGAAGGAAAUCCUGGAAGGAGCGGCAUAGGCAUGAGUGUUCGGGAUUGCUGGUCAGUUUCAAGAGAGAAGAAUCUUUCAGGUGAGCACAGAACAAAAGGAAGAUGCUCCUGAAGACUAAUGUUCAUUACUGAAAUCAUAAAUAUACAACUUUCCAAGCUGAAGAACCUCAAUACAUCUAACAAGCUAGGAGGAACGGGGCUUUCAGUACAAACUUUACCUCUAUCUGCAUAUUAGAAUAGAAAUCUACGAGAUUUCUGACCUUUGUGCAUUGAAUCAUUGAUACCACCCUACUGUGGUUCAGGUAAACUGCAACAUUUGUCAUUGACAAAAAAGAGGACAUUAUACACGUUAUACACAUGCACACACUACACAGCAGUAGAAGACUGGCAUAGUGGAUUUAUACAAGAAAUUAAAGUGCUGU